CCAGACUCCUACGGGAGGCAGCAGUGAGGAAUAUUGGUCAAUGGCCGAGAGGCUGAACCAGCCAAGUCGCGUGAGGGAAGACGGCCCUACGGGUUGUAAACCUCUUUUGUCGGGGAGCAAAGCGAACCACGUGUGGUUCAUUGAGAGUACCCGAAGAAAAAGCAUCGGCUAACUCCGUGCCAGCAGCCGCGGUAAUACGUAGGGAGCAAGCGUUGUCCGGAAUUACUGGGCGUAAAGGGCGCGUAGGUGGGCGCUUAAGUCAGGUGUGAAAACUCCGGGCUCAACCUGGAGACUGCACUUGAAACUGGGUGUCUUGAGGGCAGGAGAGGAAAGUGGAAUUCCUAGUGUAGCGGUGAAAUGCGUAGAUAUUAGGAGGAACACCAGUGGCGAAGGCGACUUUCUGGACUGUACCUGACGCUGAGGCGCGAAAGCGUGGGUAGCGAACGGGAUUAGAUACCCCGGUAUG
rnacentral:rRNA from 1 species